rnacentral:rRNA from 1 species
GACGAACGCUGGCGGCGUGCUUAACUCAUGCAAGUCGAACGGGAUUUAGUAAACAGAAACCUCGGUGGAAGAUUACUAAUGAGAGUGGCGAACGGGUGAGUAACGCGUGAGCAACCUGCCUAUGACAGUGGGAUAGCCUCGGGAAACCGGGAUUAAUACCGCAUAAAAUCGUAGAAACACAUGUUUUAACGGUCAAAGAUUUAUCGGUCAUAGAUGGGCUCGCGUCUGAUUAGCUAGUUGGUGAGAUAACAGCCCACCAAGGCGACGAUCAGUAGCCGGUCUGAGAGGAUGAACGGCCACAUUGGAACUGAGACACGGUCCAAACUCCUACGGGAGGCAGCAGUGGGGAAUAUUGCACAAUGGGGGAAACCCUGAUGCAGCGACGCCGCGUGAACGAAGAAGGUAUUCGUAUCGUAAAGUUCUGUCCUAUGGGAAGAUAAUGACAGUACCAUAGAAGAAAGCUCCGGCUAAAUACGUG